AAAGUCUAAAACCCCUCAUUUCCAUUCUAAAAUCUCAGCCCAGUCUGGAGUCUUCCCCCCCUCUUUUAACUUGCUAGUUGCUACCCUGGCUAACCUUCUCUCUCAGCCAUCGCCGGCGACGGUUAGUCUAUACAAGCUCAACAUUAGACAAAUACGUAAGCUUUCUUCAUAUUCUCCGGUCGACUUUCUCAUCCCCUUAAAUUAGUGAAGUGCUGAUUGCCGUAUAAUGCAACUCUGGUUCUCUCUGUGAAGACGCAAACAUAAUGGCCUGUCGAGCUCUUUUAAGGAGAAGGAAUGUUAUUUCUGACUAUUUGGAGGCUUCUGCUUGGUCAAUUCAAAAUUUUCAAAAGUUCAGUUCUAAUCAGUCUACUCGUUAUUCUGGAGGUUUCACCUCUGUUGGAAACCAUAUUUCUCAAUGUUCAGAUCGUGUAGAAGAUCAUGGAGAAGUUUCAAGCUUUUCAACAUCAGGACUUUUAUGGCAUAGAUCUGGUGGAAUCACAUUACAUGGCCAUGGAAAUGUUGGAAUCACAAUGCCCGUAAGAUUGGGUCUCAUCUCACCAUUGGGACACACGUUGCUGCCUUACACUGUACGUUAUUCUUCAACAGCAACUGCAAAACAACCUGAUAGUGGAAGUGAUGAUGAAGAUAAUGAUCUGGUUGCCAAAAAGAAAGAAGCUUCUCCAGAGGAAUGCGAUCAAGCUGUUGAAGGGCUAAGUUUUGCUAAAGCAAAAGCAAAACAGUUCCAAGAGUCUCAGAAGGUUGCUAAAUCUGUUUUACAAAGAGUAUGGGCUACACUUUUGGGUAUUGGUCCCGCUUUACAAGCUGUAGCUUCCAUGAGCAGGGAAGACUGGGCCAAAAAGCUCACUCAUUGGAAAAAGGAGUUUAUAUCCACACUGCAGCAUUAUUGGUUGGGUUCUAAGCUUUUAUGGGCUGAUGUGAGGAUCAGUUCAAGAUUAUUGCGAAAACUUGCCAAUGGGAAGAGUCUGUCUCGCAGGGAGAGGCAACAACUCACACGGACUACAGCUGAUAUUUUCAGGCUGGUUCCUUUUGCUGUUUUCAUCAUUGUCCCAUUCAUGGAAUUCCUGCUGCCAGUAUUCUUGAAGUUAUUUCCAAACAUGUUACCAUCAACGUUUCAAGACAAGAUGAAAGAACAGGAAGCAUUGAAAAGGAGGUUAAAUGCGAGGAUAGGAUAUGCGAAGUUUCUUCAGGACACUGUCAGAGAAAUGGCAAAAGAAGUCCAAAAUUCUAGGAGUGGAGAAGUAAAGAAAACAGCAGAAGAUCUUGAUGAGUUCCUGAGCAGGGCUAGAAGAGGUGCUCCCAUGUCAAAUGAGGAAAUUUUGGGUUUCGCUAAAUUGUUCAAUGAUGAAUUGACGCUGGAUAAUAUUAGCAGGCCUCGAUUAGUAAGUAUGUGCAAGUACAUGGGAAUCGGUCCUUUUGGAACAGAUGCUUAUUUGCGCUUUAUGCUUCGAAAAAGAUUACAAAGGAUUAAGAAUGAUGAUAAGUUGAUUCAAGCUGAGGGUGUGGAGUCUCUAUCAGAGGCUGAACUUCGUGAGGAAUGUAGAGAGCGUGGCAUGCUCGGGUUGCGUUCAGUGGAAGACAUGCGCCAACAGCUUCGUGAUUGGUUGGAUUUGUCACUUAAUCACUCAAUACCAUCUUCACUGUUGAUCCUUUCCAGGGCUUUCAUUGUGUCUGGAAGGUCCAAGAUUGAAGAGGCUGUAGGAGCGACAUUGUCUUCACUUCCAGAUGAGGUUGUUGACACUGUGGGUAUCACAUCCUUGCCAUCUGAAGAUUCUGUUUCAGAAAGGAGGAGGAAAUUGGAGUACCUUGCUAUGCAGGAUGAGCUGAUCAGGGAGGAGGAAAAGAAAGAGAAAGAGAAAGAACAGCAAGCCAAGAAGAAAGAACCUCUUGGCAAUGAAGAUGUAGCUUUGAAAGAGAUGAUUAUCCCAACAGCUAGAGAAGCACAAGAACAAGCAAGAGCAAGAGCACUUGACAAACAAGAGCAUCUAUGCGAAAUUAGCCGAGCCUUGGCUGUUCUGGCUUCUGCUUCUUCUGUGAGCAGGGAGCGGGAAGAGUUCCUAAGGCUUGUUAACAAGGAGAUAGAACUUUACAAUAGCAUGGUAGAUAAAGAAGGUACUGAUAGUGAAGUAGAUGCCAUGAAAGCAUAUAAAGCUGCUCAUGGAGAAAAUGAUCAAAUGUCUGAAGUUACUGCGCAUGAUGUGGUGUCUUCUGCACUCGUAGAUAAGGUCGAUGCAAUGCUUCAGAACCUUGAGAAGGAAAUUGAUGACGUGGAUGCAAAAAUUGGUGACCGUUGGCAAAUCCUUGACAGGGACUAUGAUGGAAAAGUGACUCCUGAGGAGGUGGCAGCUGCAGCCAAGUACUUGAAGAGAACUUUGGGCAAGGAAGGGGUUCAAGAACUGAUUACCAACCUCUCCAAAGAUAAAGAUGGGAAAAUUCUUGUCGAAGACAUAGUAAAAUUGGGCAGUCGUGUAGAAGAGGGCAUGUAGCGAAUGAAGAUCAACACUCCAUUUUACUUUCAAAUACGGAGAAACAAAAUAUUGCACAUUUUACUGGGCUGCAACAAUCAUUUACUUAGGUUUCUGGCUACUUAUCACCUGAGGUUGUGGUUCAACUUCUAACCACAUAUAUUUUGUUAGGUAUAGAGAUUCUAUUUUCUUCAGUUUCAUAUAUAUCAAAAAACCCUUCACAGAAAUAGAUUGCUACGAGGUGAAAAACCUAGUGCAGAGUACUAUGUUGAUAGGAAUGUAAAAAGAACGAGUCCUUAGAGUAUAGUAAGGCUAGGGUAUUUAUUUUUAUUUUUAUUUUUAUUUUUAUUUUUGUAUCAGAAACAGUUAUUCUUUAUUGCAUAAUGGCAUUUUAGACAAUGACAUAAUUUCAUAGGAAUUGAAGUUUGAA